rnacentral:lncRNA from 1 species
CACGAUUCAGCUCACAGUAGCCUCUGUCAGGACAUAACGUUUACAUUGUGAUCCCAGUAACCUCGCAAUAGAGGGAAUGACAUGCAAAGAUUCUGAGGAAGAAAAUUCCAGGCAGGGAAUUCUGUUGAGCAAUGGCCCUGAAAUGGGAGUGAACAGGGUGCGUUUGAGGAACCAGAGACCAGUGGCAGAGGGCAUGGGGUGCAGAAUGCAAAGGGAGGACAUGAAGUCGCAGAGUUCCGUCUCUCCAACAGGUAUAAGACAUCAUCCAGCCACUUGUCCAGGGAGCACAUCCCAAUCCAGUUCCUGACCAGACAGGGAUCUGCCACUCUUUCCAGCUGGGUGACCUGGUAUAUGUUAAAAAGUUCCAGAAGGAAGGACUCACUCCUGCCUGGAAAGGACCUCAUACUGUUAUCCUCACCAUGCCAAAAGCUCUGAAAGUAGACAGCAUUCCUGCUUGGAUUCAUCACCCUCACAUCAAGAAGACCAACAAAGCCCAGCAAGAAACAUGGGUCCCCAAGCCUGGGACAGGCCCCUUAAAACUGUGUCUAAGUCGACUGAAGCCAUUAAAUUAAUUCUUUACCUCUUUUGUU